rnacentral:misc_RNA from 1 species
UUGGAGUUGAAGAAAAGGCUGCUGGUGGCGGUGGAAAGGAGGAGAAGGAGGAGGAGGAGAGCCAUGGCGAUUCAAGAGGUCUUGAAGCUGAGCAAUAAGCUGCCUAAGCAUGGCAAGCUCUUCUUCCAUGCUCCGGAAGAAGCAAGGCUGAGGGAGGAGGAGGACAGAGGCCACUUUCUCCGCCUCUAAAAAGAAACCCACCAACCCAAUCAAACCUGAGAC